UACGUAGGGGGCGAGCGUUGUCCGAAGUUACUGGGCGUAAAGGGCGCGUAGGCGGCUCAAGCAGCGUGUGGUGAAAGCUCGGGGCUCAACCCCGAGUCGGCCGUGCGAACUCUUGGGCUGGAGUGCUGUAGAGGCGGGCGGAAUUCCGGGUGUAGCGGUGGAAUGCGUAGAGAUCCGGAAGAACACCGGUGGCGAAGGCGGCCCGCUGGGCAGUGACUGACGCUGAGGCGCGACAGCGUGGGGAGCAAACAGG
rnacentral:rRNA from 1 species